GGGGAAUUUUCCGCAAUGGGCGAAAGCCUGACGGAGCAAUACCGCGUGAGGGAUGACGGCCUAUGGGUUGUAAACCUCUUUUUUCAGGGAGGAAUCAAUGACGUGUACCUGAAGAAUAAGCAUCGGCUAACUCCGUGCCAGCAGCCGCGGUAAGACGGAGGAUGCAAGUGUUAUCCGGAAUCACUGAGCGUAAAGCGUCUGUAGGUGGUUUAAUAAGUCAACUGUUAAAUCUUGAGGCUCAACCUCAAAAUCGCAGUCGAAACUAUUAGACUAGAGUAUAGUAGGGGUAAAGGGAAUUUCCAGUGGAGCGGUGAAAUGCGUAGAUAUUGGAAGGAACACCGAUGGCGAAGGCACUUUACUGGGCUAUUACUAACACUCAGAGACGAAAGCUAGGGUAGCAAAAGGGAUUAGAUACCCCUG
rnacentral:rRNA from 1 species